rnacentral:rRNA from 1 species
AUUGAACGCUGGCGGCAGGCCUAACACAUGCAAGUCGAGCGGAGUGGCGGACGGGUGAGUAAUGUCUAGGAAUCUGCCUGGUAGUGGGGGAUAACGUCGGGAAACGGGCGCUAAUACCGCAUACUAUUGGAUGAGCCUAUGUCGGAUUAGCUAGUUGGUGGGGUAAAGGCUUACCAAGGCGACGAUCCGUAGCUGGUCUGAGAGGAUGAUCAGCCACACUGGGACUUGGACACGGUCCAGACUCCUACGGGAGGCAGCAGUGGGGAAUUUUGGACAAUGGGCGAAAGCCUGAUCCCGCCAUGCCGCGUGUGUGAGGAAGGUCUUCGGGUUGUAAAGCACUUUAGGUUGGGAGGCGUUACCUACAGAAUAAGCACCGGCUAACUACGUGCCAGCAGCCGCGGUAAUAC